GCUCAGAUAGCUCAGUUGGUAGAGCAGAGGACUGAAAAUCCUCGUGUCGGUGGUUCGAUUCCGCUUCUGAGCA
rnacentral:tRNA from 1 species